GAACUUGCUGGAGAAGUGAGUGAGGGAGACUCUCCCAAGAAGCCCCAUGGUGGGGCAAGCAAGCUCAGGGAGCCGGUCAAGUGCAAAAAUUAAGUCACUGAUGUUACCAGUGGCGAUGCUGAAGACAAAAACACAUCUCUGGCUGAUCAGUCAACUCUGCUCCUGACACAGAACAAAUCUUCCAAAGGAUUGUUAAUGAUCUGGCUGAUUUUUCACAAAAGCUAAAAUGGGAUAUGACGUUUUAUCUUAUGACUCAUUAGAAGCAGUUACCUGGUGUGCUGUGUUGAAAUGAAUUCUGAAGCUGUAACCAACACUGCAGGAGUGAUUGUGACAAUCUAUGAGCAACGUCUGUCAUAGACUUCAGAGGAAAACUCUGAAGAGCUGCUCUUGGCUGUUGACUUGGCCCAUUGUCAGACUUUCACAAUUUGAAGAUCUUCCUAUGUGAUUUGAGAGGGGAUUAGGUAAUUCAAACAUCAAGUGGAAGUUCAGACAGUUUUCCCAAUCUACUCUGUCAUUGGGGAAGAAAAAUUAUAAUGUCAUCAAAGUCGAGUCAAAAUUUGAGUUCUAUAAGGGUGUUUUUGUCUUGGUUUUGAUAGCCUGUGUACUGGGCGUGAGCCCAGCUGCCAGCUGGUCUAGCCACAGAUUGGGGUAUGAUUACCUGUGCCCCAGCAAAUUCUUUACUUUUGUCUCCUCUGUUUUAAAAGGCUCUGCUGCUGCCUACAGUCUCCUUUCCCUCCUCCCAGUCUUUUGCUGGGGGCAGCACAUAGUGUUCAAAG
rnacentral:lncRNA from 1 species